rnacentral:lncRNA from 1 species
CCCCAAUCCAAAGGUGUUCCUAUUGACUUUACCCCGGUCCGUUGCUUCCGUCUGUAGGUGGUGUUCGUAGAACAUUACAAAUUCACUUAGAGAAUCAGAUAUAAGGCUCUGGAUGUGUUAAUUAAAAAUACUAAUAGGGUUUAAGAUCAUUUUUCAUUCAUUAAGACAUAAAAAAGUGGACCAAAAGAAGAUAGAGGGAAUCGAAGGAAGACACUACUAACUUGUCAUCCAUCUCAUGAGAUGGAUCGGAUUCUGAAUUCUACAAGGUCGAAAGGGACGAAAAUUCAUCCGGGGAAAACUACCAGGCUUCAUAAGGGAAUAGAAUGGACUCCUUUCUUGGAACGUAGAUUUCAGGAUCGAAAAAAUGAUGAGAUCUAUUCACGAUGAGGGAUGACGUCAUGAAAUUGGCAUUGAAAUCGUAAUCAAUAUUAAAAUAAUGUUGCUUAUUAGUAUCGAGGAAUCGAGGAAUUCAUAGCGAUAAUUAAUGAUGUAAAUGCAGGGUGUUUUUUAGCUGGCCCGUUAAUUUGUAAUUGGUAAUUACAAGAAUGAAUUUUUUCCCCUUAGUAGUUGUCAUUAUUAUUGAAUUUCUGAGUAGUGAACAUACUUUCCAAAAUAGAUUCGAUUAUAGGUAGAACGUUCGUGUUUGCUCAUAAAAGACAGAUCGUAACUCUGACGAUUUGUUGCAGAGUUAUAACUUUAAGUCCUUUGUGGACUCAGAAUA